AGGUAGUAGGUGUGUGGUUU
rnacentral:miRNA from 1 species